GUGGGGAAUUUUGGACAAUGGGCGAAAGCCUGAUCCAGCCAUGCCGCGUGCAGGAUGAAGGCCUUCGGGUUGUAAACUGCUUUUGUACGGAACGAAAAGACUCUGGUUAAUACCUGGGGUCCAUGACGGUACCGUAAGAAUAAGCACCGGCUAACUACGUGCCAGCAGCCGCGGUAAUACGUAGGGUGCAAGCGUUAAUCGGAAUUACUGGGCGUAAAGCGUGCGCAGGCGGUUAUAUAAGACAGAUGUGAAAUGCCCGGGCUCAACCUGGGAACUGCAUUUGUGACUGUAUAGCUAGAGUACGGCAGAGGGGGAUGGAAUUCCGCGUGUAGCAGUGAAAUGCGUAGAUAUGCGGAGGAACACCGAUGGCGAAGGCAAUCCCCUGGGCCUGUACUUACGCUCAUGCACGAAAGCGUGGGGAGCAAACAGGAUUAGAUACCCCAGUAGUCC
rnacentral:rRNA from 1 species